GCUUGUCGAGGAGCUAAGAUGUCGGCCUUGUCCAGUUGUUGUGGCAGCUCUUUCUGGUGGUUCUAAGGCCUGCAUGUAUAAGUUUUUUCAGAUUGUUAAAGGGAGAUCUGAAGCUCAAGUUAAUCUGGAGGACAGCCAAUUGGUCAUUAACUGCAUCUCAGGUCAAAUUUAUGAUUCUUGUCCUGUUGAUUUCACUGCAGACUUUGGAGCACAAUUUGCUGUGCCUCCCACAAUUCUAAAGUUCCCCGGCUCCACACAGCUACUGUCUAUGGUUGCGAAAGGUUUUACUUCUGGAUUAGAUGCCCUAUUCAUAACUAGGUUUGGAUCCCAGCGUUCUGAGUAUUGGCGAACUCUUUACUCCUCAGUUAGUUUUGGGGCCCCUUUUCUCGUUUUGUGCUCAGAAAAUGAUGAUAUUGCACCAUAUCAAUCUGUAUGUAAAUUUGCUCACAGCUUGCAAGACAUGGGGGCAGAUAUCAAAAUGAUAAUGUGGAAGAGUUCCUGUCACGUAGGCAUGUACAAGAGUGAUCCCAUCCAGUACAGCAUUGCUAUAGAUCAACUACUUGCUCAGGCAACUUCAGUUUUCUCUAGCAGAAUUAGGAAACUAGGAGAGAGAAAUGGCUUCGAUGAUAUGCAUGAUGAAAUAUCUCACAUGAUUUGUGACCUCCAAAAUGCAGCAGCUGACUCGAAUGGAAGUUUUAGAAGAGUUGCAGGGGGACCAAAGGAUCACUUUUUCUUGCCAAGCUCAUCUGACCGUCAUAAUGUUAGUGAUUCUGGCUCCUCCUCCUCCGAAAGGAAAAAUCUGCCUAUUUGGCCAAAUCCCAGUUUAAGUGCACACACUGUGCUUGGCCAAAUCCUUUUUGAUGCUUGUGUUCCUAAGAAUGUUGAAGGUUGGGAUGUUAAGUGUACUUCUUCCUUAAAAGGCCAACCAUUUUCCUCAGUGCGUAAGGAUUCACCUCUAAAUGCCAUCAAAAUCUUCCGCCGUUCACGGUUAUGAGGCCUUUUCUUGUGGAACUCACUUCGGCUUUUCACAUUUCUACUAGAUGCACUGUAUGAUUAAUAUCAUAAUUUUACCUCUAUGUCUAAAAGGGUUAUGAUGAAAUAUUGGAGGUCAUUUUUCAAGGUGAAACUAACUAAUGAUCUGAUUUGGCUGGCUAUUAGAACAAAGUGUACAGGUUAAAUGAGUAACACAUCUCCUAUCUUAAUGGGAUGGGCAGACAUGAUGGUGCUGUGUAUGAGAGGUGUUAAUAUAUAGAAAGCAGCAUGUACCAUUUGAUUCG
rnacentral:misc_RNA from 1 species